rnacentral:lncRNA from 1 species
ACAUUCGAGUGCAUUGACGGGCCUCCAAAGGAUGAAGCUCUCUGAAUAACUCUGAUUUCCCUGCCCAGGAGCGAAGGGCUUACUUGAGAGUCGACUGGAAAGUUCUGCAGAGAGGCUGGUCAUGCCGCUGGCACGGCCGGGUGAAAUGGGUGUCGCUGGGUGCACAGAGGAAGAGGUGAUGGAUCCCAGUUUGGUUUUAGUGUCUGGGAAAAUAAAACACAACAACCACAAACCCGAAAAUGUAAGGACCACAGACCUGCUUGUUUCUGGGCAAACAUUUUAACUUGGAAUCUCCUGGUUUAGAGACCUCCUGACUUCCUCCCAAUGGCAGAGAGCUUGUCUGAAGGGACGGCACAGAAAAGGGAGCUGGUGUACACUAAACUCAUCAGACAAGUGCUUUGACGCAGGUGAAGCCUUGUGCGGUUUUACGGCCAACUGUUCCAGAGGGCUGGAGGUGCCCCGUGAAUAAAGGUUAUCAAGAAACCGAGGGAGAGCUGACUGAAAUACAAGGAAAAGCAGACAAACCCAUCCUUAUGGCCGGAGACUUCAGCACCCUCUUCCAGUCACUGAUAGGCCAUGCAAGCAGAAAUUCAGACUCGGCUGACCUGGACAGUAUCAGUUUGACCUAAAGAACACCUGUAGACCGCUCCUUUCUUCUGAAGCACACAGACCACUCACUAAGACAGACUACACUUGAGGCCGUGGAAUACUACUUGGGCUUAAAGG